rnacentral:sRNA from 1 species
ACUCGCAAAUUCUUGUUAACUUAUUUCCUGUGAAUUCUCGUUGUAUUAUCUCGUUAAAUUGUUUCCCGCGAAAUUUUAAAUAAACUUAUAUGAUACGUCAUUAUGUGCAUAAAUUAUAACUUUGCUUAAAUCUAUAGAAAAUAAUUCAAAAAAGUCUUUUUAACUUAUUGAAAAAUUCUUUUUAAUGCCCUUUUCAUGAUGCACCUUUUCAACUCUACCCUUUUGUUUUAUCCAUUUUUAUUUCUACCUUCUUUAAAUUUUUAAUGACCAUUUUACCCUUAUUUGGAAAUUGUUUUAGGUUAACAAAAUAAAAUAUUA